GACGUAGGGCGCGAGCGUUGUCCGGAUUUAUUGGGCGUAAAGAGCUCGUAGGCGGCUCAUUGCGUCGUCGGUGAAAACCCGGGGCUCAACCCCGGGCCUGCAGUCGAUACGGGCAGACUAGAGUGUGGUAGGGGAGACUGGAAUUCCUGGUGUAGCGGUGAAAUGCGCAGAUAUCAGGAGGAACACCGGUGGCGAAGGCGGGUCUCUGGGCCAUAACUGACGCUGAGGAGCGAAAGCGUGGGGAGCGAACAGG
rnacentral:rRNA from 1 species